rnacentral:lncRNA from 1 species
UUUGUGAAGACACAAGUGAAGCACAAAAGAGAUUUCUCUGCAGCCUGCACCGCAGGGGGCUGCGAGGGGACCGCUGGCUCCACGCUCACCACACGCAAGAGACAGUCAUCAAAACGACAGAAGCAGCCAAGGCACAAAGGAACAGUAUCCAGAUAAAGGAUGAAGGGUGGCCAUGAUUUCUUCAUCACCCCCUAAUGUAAGUAGAAAUUACCAAGACAGACACGGAACCUCCUCCCACCACUCAGAAGCAGGACAGGAAGCUUAGUGAGAAAAAAACCCCAACCAACCCUGAACAUUUGUGAGGAAGUCAGAGUACCAUGGAAUCUAAAUUGCUGAGUAUCUAACAAGAAGGGCUAACGUUACCUACCAGCAGUAACAGCACACCAGUUUCUUCUGAAGUUCAGCCUGCCCUCUGUUACCCUGUUCUGGAAUGGGCAGAGUGACUGCAGAGCACCCUCUUGUCACCUUGGGGUCCAACUGGCUGCAAAUGUACCCAGGGGUUUUCAUCCUGUGCCACCUGUGUUGUGGCACUGUGUGACAUAGACCAAUGAGACAAGCACAUACACAGCAGACAAGUCCGCAAGAGACCAACUAAACUGAUUUACAGAAGAUGUAUCCUCCCCUCCUCAGCCCCAGAAGCGGAUUCAUUAUCAGUGUUUCUCAGGAUACCCCUAAUAGAGCUUUGGCACAAGAUCGCCAGCCAAAACCCAGAUGCAGACAUUUUCGGGGAAUGAUUCCUCUGGGAGACCGGCCUUUCCUCCAGCAGCCCCAUUCCAGCCCCAUGCAGGCUGGAGCUCCAACCUUUCUCAACCCUCACCAGCAAGACAUUUUUCCAUUUGUUUCCUCCAUCUUCCAAUCUCUGUGCACAGUUAGAUGAUCACAACUGUAGCCAUGGAUUACUGCAGCUGAAGACAAACUCCUAAUGAGAGUAUUCAGAGACAGCUCUUUCUACUCUGAAGAUCAUAAAGUGUUCAUACAGAUGCCAUAAAUCCACAGGAUAUUCCAUGGAAACACAAAGCCAACCAUUAUUCUUCAAAGGAAACUAUACAACAGAGAGUAUCACUGUUAUGAAGAACACAUUAUAUCAAAUUAUACUAUACAAUUCUUAUUAAAUGUGUUUUCUGAAAAAUAAAAAUU